rfam:Myotis brandtii contig319250, whole genome shotgun sequence.
AGAGGCCCUCCGUGGCCGGGGUGGAACGCUUACCUCGUCACUGUGGCGACAAAGCAAGCAUUCCACCAGGUCACUCACACUGCUCUC